rnacentral:tRNA from 1 species
GAAUAACUCAGUUGGUUAGAGCAUGGUGCUGAUAACGCCAAGGUCGCAGGUUCGAUCCCCAUAUGGGGCAGCU